GGAUCAUUACCGAGUUUACACUCCCAAACCCCUGUGAACAUACCAAUUGUUGCCUCGGCGGAUCAGCCCGCUCCCGGUAAAACGGGACGGCCCGCCAGAGGACCCCUAAACUCUGUUUCUAUAUGUAACUUCUGAGUAAAACCAUAAAUAAAUCAAAACUUUCAACAACGGAUCUCUUGGUUCUGGCAUCGAUGAAGAACGCAGCAAAAUGCGAUAAGUAAUGUGAAUUGCAGAAUUCAGUGAAUCAUCGAAUCUUUGAACGCACAUUGCGCCCGCCAGUAUUCUGGCGGGCAUGCCUGUUCGAGCGUCAUUUCAACCCUCAAGCCCCCGGGUUUGGUGUUGGGGAUCGGCGAGCCCUUGCGGCAAGCCGGCCCCGAAAUCUAGUGGCGGUCUCGCUGCAGCUUCCAUUGCGUAGUAGUAAAACCCUCGCAACUGGUACGCGGCGCGGCCAAGCCGUUAAACCCCCAACUUCUGAAUGUUGACCUCGGAUCAGGUAGGAAUACCCGCUGAACUUAAGCAUAUCAAUAGGCGGGA
rnacentral:rRNA from 1 species